UACGUAGGGCGCAAGCGUUAUCCGGAAUUAUUGGGCGUAAAGAGCUCGUAGGCGGUUUGUCGCGUCUGCCGUGAAAGUCCGGGGCUCAACUCCGGAUCUGCGGUGGGUACGGGCAGACUAGAGUGAUGUAGGGGAGACUGGAAUUCCUGGUGUAGCGGUGAAAUGCGCAGAUAUCAGGAGGAACACCGAUGGCGAAGGCAGGUCUCUGGGCCAUAACUGACGCUGAGGAGCGAAAGCAUGGGGAGCGAACAGG
rnacentral:rRNA from 1 species